UACGGGGGGGGUAAGCGUUGUUCGGAAUUACUGGGCGUAAAGAGCUCGUAGGCGGUCUGUCGCGUCGGUCGUGAAAACUUGGGGCUUAACCCUGAGCUUGCGGUCGAUACGGGCAUGACUGGAGUUCGGCAGGGGAGACUGGAAUUCCUGGUGUAGCGGUGAAAUGCGCAGAUAUCAGGAGGAACACCGGUGGCGAAGGCGGGUCUCUGGGCCGAUACUGACGCUGAGGAGCGAAAGCGUGGGGAGCGAACAGG
rnacentral:rRNA from 1 species